CCCCCCCCCCCCCGCACCCCCCCCUGCAGCCCCAACCCCAACUUAGCCACAGCCACAGCCGCCCCCAACAGAAGACUUCCAGCCCCGCCCACUCGACCUUUAAACUCUCACAAAGUUGAGUCCUAUUUCCCUCUGUGACUCCCUGGUGAUCAGUGCCUCUGUGUGGACAAUCAGGAAUCGAACCCUCGACACUGGAUAUGUUUCUCUAAGGAGCACAUCAGUGAAGAAAACAGUGCCCCUGGAGGCGACAGGGUGUCAGGGCCUCGGCCAGGACUUUGACCUGAAGCUGGUUCUUGACGUAUCCUGGAUCAACGAAAUUCCUCAGGUUUUUAAACUGGUUUGAAACUCUCAGUUCAAGACGUGUCGAGCUGUUGAAACCGCUGUCAAACUGGUUCAAAAGUCUCCGACUCAGACGAGGCUGAAGUGUCAGAACCCAGGUU